AUCGCUUCUGGCCUUUUGGCUAAGAUCAGAGGUGUAGUUAUCUGUUCUUAUUCAGUUUAUAUUGUACGGUCCCUACCCGGACUAUAUUUUAAUUGAUUUAUUGGGCAGGGGGGUCGGAAUUUAGGGGCUUGCUCGUCCACUCCGCAUCGACUGGGUAUUGCUGUAUUCCAUGGACGGUGUCACUUGU
rnacentral:snRNA from 1 species